rnacentral:lncRNA from 1 species
UUUAUCUUUUAUUACUAUCCAAUAUUUUUAAAUUUAUUUUAAAAUUACUAAAAUAUUUAUCUAAAAUUCAAUCUUACUAGUAAAUUCUAAAAAAAUAGAAAUAUUUGAAGAAAGUUUUUAAAAUCAAUAAAAUUAUUUUGAUAUUUCAAAUAUAAAUAAAAAUAUUUUUAAAAUUUUAAAAAGCAUUAUUAUCCCCUAAAGGGAAAUGUUUGGCCUUUUUACAUGGAGUUGGUCUAAAUUUACUGAUUUUUUUUUUUUUGAGAGAUAGAUAGCACGCUGCCCACUUCGUUUAUUUCAUAACGUAAAUAAACGUAACUAGAAAUGUGAAUCAACUAGGAUUCGAACUUGAGACCUCGGGUACCAACCAUCGAGCCCUUUGUCACUUGCUCUAGGGACGGUCGGUAAAUUUAUUGAUUGUUAAAAUAAUAAAA